ensembl:lncRNA LINC00592 long intergenic non-protein coding RNA 592
GGGGCUUCUGGGUGGUUCUGCAGAGGCCCCAGGGACCUGUAGGCAGGCCUCCCAGGCUGGUCUGCUCCACUGGCCCUCAGAAAGACUUGUCGCCUCGCCGAGCCUCAGUGUUCUCAUCUGAAGAAUAGAGUGGGCAAGGCCUUUCUCCUACACACUCAGAGCCCUGAAUGGGAAGAAAUGGGUUCCAUGUGCAGCAAGCCAGGAGAGAUUUAGGCAACGAGAACCUCCAGUUCUGUCUUAGGGUUCCCAGCUUUCUCCUUGUCCUGAGGGAGCCGCUGAGCCUGUGGGAGAUGAGGGGUGCCCAUUCCCCAGUGCUUCUCACCCUCCCCCACCUGCCCUCCUGGGGUACCUUUGUCUGCCACUUGCAUCCUAUUGGAAGCUGUCCCCAAGUGCGUGUUAGGCAGGUGGCAGGUGCUGGAGCAGAGUGCACCACCCUCCGGCGAUCACUGUGAGUUGGGGUAAGAGUGGGGUGUUCCUGCCAGCCCCAGGAGAGGGGAAAGCAAGCCCCCGUCCACCCUUGUGGGUCUCUGCUCCUGGAAAAGGUGCUCUAGCAGGCUCAUCUGUGUGAGUCACUGUCUUCCAUGUGGGAAUGCUGGAAGCCAAGCUUGCACAUUCUAGGCAGCCAUUUGGAAGAUUCUUCUCUGCGCAUGACCAGCUGAAAAGGAAAAACCCCGAAACAUUGGCACUGUGAUUUCUCCAUGUGAACAGUUUAGUUCGCCGAGGUGGACAUGCCUCAUUCAUGCUUAUGGAGUGACCGACCAGCCUUUAGUGACACCCCCUGAAAUGUGAGUCAUCCAUGGGUCACUAGUCAUUGGAGAAGAGCCCCUUAUACAAAACUUGGAGCUCAGACCACAAACAACAACAACAAUCCAAAAAAUAAAAAAAUGAAAAA